rnacentral:misc_RNA from 1 species
GCAAACUUGGUCAUUUAGAGGAAGUAAAAGUCGUAACAAGGUUUCCGUAGGUGAACCUGCGGAAGGAUCAUUAACGAGAGGCCCCCUCGAGCUGUGCGCCGAUCGGUUGCACGCUCCUGGAGAACCCCACGAUUCCUUUACACCUGUGCACGUUUCAAACGCAGGGAUGCGUUUGCCUAUUUUUUUUUUAAACAAGCUGUCUCGAACGUGUGUUUGAUCUUUUAAACUAAAUACAACUUUCAACAACGGAUCUCUUGGCUCUCGCAUCGAUGAAGAACGCAGC